rnacentral:rRNA from 1 species
UACGAGGGGGGCGAGCGUUGUUCGGAAUUACUGGGCGUAAAGCGUGCGCAGGCGGUUUUGCAAGCCGGAUGUGAAAUCCCCGGGCUUAACCUGGGAAUGGCAUUUGGGACUGCAAGGCUGGAGUGCGGCAGAGGAGACUGGAAUUCCUGGUGUAGCAGUGAAAUGCGUAGAUAUCAGGAGGAACACCGAUGGCGAAGGCAGGUCUCUGGGCUGACACUGACGCUCAUGCACGAAAGCGUGGGGAGCAAACAGG